rnacentral:tRNA from 1 species
GUUCCCGUAGUUUAGCGGUUAACCCCCUGGACUUUGAAUCCAGUGAAGCGAGUUCAAAUCUCGCCGGAACCU